UAGACCUAAUAAAUACUCCUACAUAUGUUUGUUUAAAACUUUCUGUAAAAAUGUUUUCAGGGCUCUUGUGCUUUCUUCUAGCUCUUCAUUUUUGCUACUCAAAUACUGGUAAGCUAUUUCAUUCCCACUUUUAACUUUUUGCUGAAUAACAUGGAAUUAAAAAUGGCAAUGUUUUAAUAAUUGAAAUAACUUAAAAAUAGCAAAAUAAAAGCAUGAUGAAAUAUGCCGUAUCAUUGUAGAGCAUUAUUUAUAUAGUAUCAUAUAUGAUUGUUUAUUGUUUAUCAUUUUUGCAGCAUAUUAUACUUUCCUUGUUUCAGUCCUCAUUUUCAGUCCUCAUUUCCCUGUUUUUUGUUGGCAUAAACACACAAGUACAUUUACAUUUUCAGCAUUUGCCAGACGACCUUAUCCAGAGCGUAUAUACUGUAAUACCAUAAGACUGAAACACUGUUUAAAGUUUGUUUAUUUAUUUUUUUAUUUUUAUUUUUUUAAUUUUAUAAAUACAUACACACACAACACACAGGGGAGAAAAUGCUAGUUCAAGCAUUUCAUGAAGAAGUAGGUCUUCUUAGUAGGCCCCCUAGAGGAAGUUCAUUCCACCCAUCUUAAGUUCCAACUUCCUUCUUUUACUCUGCAACCUUGAGGUGGUCACAAAGAUGAUUUGCAUAAUCUGAAAUCUAGAAAAUCAAAGCAGCCGCAGAACCCGUCUUUAAAUAUGUUUAAUUGCUUUUAGACUUGGGGGGCACGGUGGCUUUGUGGUUAGCACGUUCGCCUCACACCUCCAGGGUUGGGGGUUCGAUUCCCGCCUCCGCCUUGUGUGUAUGGAGGUUGCAUGUUCUCCUUUUGCCUCGGGGGUUUCCUUCGGGUACUCCGGUUUCCUCCCCCGGUCCAAACACAUGCAUGGUAGGCUGACUGGCAUCGCUGGAAAAUUGUCCGUAGUGUGUGAUUGCGUGAGUGAAUGAGAGUGUGUGUGUGUGUGUGCCCUGCGAUGGGUUGGAACUCUGUCCAGGGUGUAUCCUGCCUUGAUGCCCAAAGACGCCUGAGAUAGGCACAGGCUCCCCGUGACCCGAGGUAGUUCGGAUAAGCGGUGGAAAAUGAGUGAGAGUGAGAGCUUUUAGACUUCACUAUAUAUAUAAUAUAAUAUAUAUACAAUAUAAUAUUAUGUUUGUCUUAUUCAUGCUGUAUGUUGUAUGUUUGCUUUAAAAAACACUUCUGCACAUCCACCAUCUCUCACCGUGCAGCUGAUGAACAGCACUAACUCCUCCUGUGAAUAUACUAAAAGAUGUUAUUCAUGUGGUGUGUACUCUUCAAUUGUUUUCUGUCACAGUUCAAGUUGCAGGCAACAUGAAGAACAUUUAAGGUUAAGGCCCCAAUGCAAACCAGAAAAUACACUCAAAAUAAUAACUACACAGCUUUAUACAAUGAUAUGUGCCAAGGUUUUCAAGAGGCUGAAGAAAGACGUUUUGAUGACGAGGAGUACUAGUACUAUUGAAUAACAUGAGAGGGUACUCCUCCCUGCCAGUAGAGGUCACAAUCUCCCUAAUUCUAGUUCAGCCUCCACCAGCAAAACUCCAUGUCACAGUAUACUGUACAGUAGAAAUCCAUUAAGUUCAGCAACACAUGCUUUGCUGAAGGAAUUAUGAGCCUUGGAGCCUUGGUUUUCUCUAUUUGAUUUUAUUAGUUUGUAUGCUUGGCCUUCAUAAUAAAGUGCUUCUGAAUUUCACUCUAAUCUCUGAAUCUCUCAAUCUAAAGGCAGUUUGGAAAUUUGGAAAUAGAUUUACACUUACUUCUCUCAGGUCACCCAGAAAUACAGAGAUCAACUGUUUGGUAAACAAAAUAUUAUGGUGGCCUUUCUUGAACAAUUGCAUCAUAAUUGGUCAAGCCUUCUGUCAUCUGCCCACAAUGCAGUGAGAUCUUCACACUUGCCACAAUGUCCCUUGUUUCCCAUUAUCAUUGCACUCUGAUCAGCCAUUAUCACAAGGUUUCACUACUAAAAAAACAUGUUGACUUCCAUCUAUCUGAAGCUCUGGUCAUCAGGAAUAGAUGAGGAGACGCCAAAAGACCUGUGAAGUGGUGUGUCUGACUACAACAAACAGUGCUUAGACAAAAUUUUCAAAUAGACAAGACAUGAAGAUUGCAUUCACAGCUAUGGUCUGGUUGUUCACUGGGUAACCUUUACCUGAGACAAAGUACUUAGACAAGCUGGUCCAAAAUUAAACCACCUUAAACUUCCAUCAUCCUCUAGGCUAGCCCUUACAUGUCACAUGCAGUGUCUGUGCUGAAAAUGUUUUCCUCUGCCUGGGGCUUGUGGUUGAAGGCGAUAGAAUUGAAUAAGGACAGUAUGUCAAGUUUGUUUUUCUGUCACAAACUUCCUGUGUUCUCAUGAACUUCACUUUGCAAGUCCACCCCCGCGUGUAAAGAUUAAAAAAAGAUCUUAUGUCUCAUCUCAUGUAAUGUAAAAAUUACACUUCUGUUGUAACUCUAUAAAAUAACCUCGGUCUCAGACGCAAUCUGGAUCCGUAUAAACAAAGACAUUAACAAUAUGCCCAUUGUUUCACAAUAAUGAAAAGAUUCUGUGAAUGGUAUAUGCAAUAUAAGAUCUAUUUAAAGAAUGUAUGACCACUUUAGGUCUGUCCAUAUUAUAUACAAGAUUAUUGCUUGGUUCAGGCAUUUUCUGGAGAUUCAAGGGUUUCAGUUUACAGACUUUUAUUUGUUGUUUCCAGGUUCUGCUAAACUGUGAAUGUGUCCUGCCAGAGCUUUAAAUUAAAUACAGAAUAAACAAAAUAAUUUUAAAUAAAAUACUGCUAUUGAUGCUUGGAUUCAGACAAUUCAACACAGUUGUAAUGACGUUGUAGCUGUAAACACACUGGCAAUGACUUACAAACUGCAUUUCACAACAAGUAAACCGUAGCAACAGACCUGCUUUAGAGUUCACAGCCCCGCUUUAUUUCACAAUGUACAAGGCAGAAUGAUAGCCAGAAAAAGUGACAUAUACAGGGUGCAUGUACUGCGGUUUGAGAUGAUAAGAAAGAGUAUAGUGAGUAUGGUUUUCUAUGAUAUGUCAGGAAAAAAAGUAUUUGCAUAGUAUAUUUCUACAGAUUGAGUGCAAUUAAAAUUCUAACUUAUUUUUAGCAAAUAAAUAAAUGAUUUUGUCUUGUCAUUCUAAACCUUAUGAUCGUUUUCUCUACAAUUUAUAGGCAUCAAUAAGGAAGUGCUGUUUUAUCUGCUCUGUGUGUAUGCUUCAGUUUAUACACCCCCAUUUCUUCAUUGCAUUAUUUAAUAAAGAAAAGAAUUUAAUAUAUAUCACUGUUUUAUUUAUUUAUUUAUUUAUUUAGCCACAAAAACACAGAAUUGCAACGAAUUGAAUGCAACACAGACGGCUCAUAUGGGAAUGUCUACACUCAGUUGUAUAUUUUCAACAUUUCGGUAUUUCAGCAUAUUUACUGUGUUCGUACAUGUUCCUAAAUAAAUCCUGGAUUAAAGCAUCCUGUGAAUGCCACAUCAGAUUUAUUUAGAUUCAAGAAACAGAGAAAAUAGAUUUUGGGCUGGUAAAUCUUCAAAUAAGUAAUUCUGGUGUUUACGCCUUAACUGUGGAGGAGCAGGUACCACCUCCUACAAGAUGUGUAGGAAAGAAAAGGAUGUUCGUUCAUGUACUAGGUAAGAUGACGACUAUUCAAAUAUAUUAAUAUUGAGAUUCUGUGUAAUAUUGACAUGAUGUGUCGUCACCUGACAUUGUUCAAUUUAUUGCAGUAUUGUGUAGUGUGUUUAGUUCUGUAUUGUUUUAUGUAGCUCUGCACUUUAUGUAGCAACAUAGUUCUGGAGCAGCAGGGUUUCAUUUCACUGUCUACUGCAGCAGAUAAAUAAGGUUAAAAUGACAAUAAAACUUCUUGACUUGAGUUGGAACUAUAUACUUAAGCUAGUCUCUUUGUAUUUAUAAAAGGAUCCUGAAAGGUACAUACAGUAAAAGAACUAAAUAUUCUUCCACAGUCAGUAACAACACAAAGUUCAAACCCAAGCCCUUAAGCAGAGAUUGUAACCACAAAACCAUGUUCAAAACCUUAAAGCUGUCUAUGAAGAAAAAGCAAUAAUUGCUUAAAAAAAGAAAGAAGAGACAACUGGAUAGUGAUUAAUACAGAAUCUGUAACAAUAUAGGGGAAAUACAAAUUUUAUUUAGCUUGAGUUUACAUAUAAAUAACAUUUAUUAGCAUGAUUGUCUUUUCAUUUUGAUCCAUGUCAUGUGUCAAGAGGUCUGGCAGAGCUCCCACAAUUCUUUGUGCUGCUGAAGAAUUUUAUCCUGCUGAUUUGGAGCAGGUGUUGUUGUGAGAUGGAAAAUACAUCAGUUACAUGAACACUUCACUUGAAUGUCCAUUUGAAGAAAAUCAAAACACAUCUGACAUCAACUGGAAUUAUAGAAACAACACAGAUGGAUCCUACAGCCUCACAUCGUGCCUUCACCUGUCAUCACAAACACCACAGAAAAUGAUAUACGUCAGCUGGGUCAACCACUGCACCCUGAGCCAACCCAUCACUGCCAACAUAUCCUCCACUGAGUGUACUGAGAGAGAACAGGCAUCAACAGCACUUGCUGGGAUCAGUUGCAUUUUGUUUACUGGCAUAGGACUAAUCAUCACAGGCUCCUAUCAACGUAUUAAAGGUUUAUGUAUUGUCUUCAUGCAUUUACCUGUAUAUUAUUCUCUUUCUUGUACAUAUGAAACAUAUUCAUAAAUCAUUAUAACUGUUUCUAAUAAUAAUAUAAUCUGCUUCUGUGCUUCUAUUUCUUUUUAAUUUGGUAAUGAUUUGGUGUGGAUGUUUAAAAACCUCUAUUAAUCUCUAAUAAAUCACUAAUAAUGCUUUAUUAUUAAAAGCGUUAAAAGCCGUGGAUGGCUGCUAAAGUGCGUGCACUGCUAUAGACUAGAGCCCUAGCCUUCAGAACAGGGGACAGCAGCCCUAAGAACAGCAAGGGUCAAACUGUCCCGAGCCAUCAGAGAAGUAAAGCGCGCACAUGCCCAGACAAUCCACACUCGACGCAUGUGGCAGGGCAUACAGGCGAUCACGAACUACAAGACAGCUUUAGCGGCCGAUGUGAGAGGAACUCUAUGCAGAGUUAACCCACGGAAGGUUGCUGGACCAGACAACAUUCCUGGCAGGGUGCUCAGGGAAUGCGCAGAACAGCUAGCAGAUGUCUUUACUGACAUCUUCAACCCUUCCCUGAGCAGCGCAGUUGUUCUUAUGUGCCUCAAGACAACCACCAUUGUCCCUGUCCGAAAGAAGUCUACAGUGUCCUGCCUCAAUGCCCAUCGCACUCACACCCAUUUUAAUUUAGUGCUUUGAGAAGCUCGUCAUGAGGCACAUGAAGACCCAGUUACCACCCUCACUGGACUCCUUACAGUUUGCGCAUCGUCCAAACCGCUCCACGGACGAUGCCAUUGCCACGGCCCUUCAUUUAGACUUCACCCACCUCGACAAUAAAGACACACAUACGAACGCUGUUCUUAGACUCUAGUUCAGCAUUCAACACAAUCAUCCCUCAGCAGCUGAAGGCUUCCCUCCCCCCCAUCCUGACUACGUUCUACAGAGGGAACAUAGAGAGCAUCCUGAGCAGCUGCAUCACUGUCUGUUUUGGGAAAUGCACCGUCCUGGAUCACACGUCACUGCAGCAGAUUGUGAGGUAAGUUGAGAAGAUCAUUGGAGUCUCUCUUCCCUCUAUCAUGGACAUUUACACAACAUGCUGCAUCCGCAAGGCCAACAACAUUGUGGAUGACCCGAUACACCCCUCACACACACUCUCCACUCUUCACAGAAUCUUUUGGGCCUUCACGACCAGACUGUGUAACAGUUUCUUUUCACAAGCCAUAAGACUCCUCAAUAACUGAACUGAACUGUAUCAAGCACAAUACACACACACACACACACACACACAAUCAACUGUAUGGACUGCAAUGACCCAUACCAAACACUCUUCCAAUUUAUAUCAAUGUCUACAGCACCAUCAAAUCAAAUUGUUUACAUGUUGUUUUUGCACACUGUUUUUGCUAUUUACACAUGCUGUCUUUCACAUUGUAGUUGAUUGCUGUUUUGCACAGUACUUUACAAUACCUCAUGUAACUGCUGCUAUAAUACUAAUGUGUUCAUUCCUGUAUUUCUGCACAUGUAAUAUUGUAAUAUUAUGUAAUAUUACAAUAAUAAUAAUACAUAAUAAUACAUACAGUAUUUACACUGGUCUGUUUUUUUGUGUAUUGUCUUUUGUGUAAUGUUUUGUAUUGUUUGUCCUGCACUGUCUUUUUUGUCUUUUGGUCCUGCACUGUUUACACCAGGUCACUUUAUGUAUCUAGGAUGCACUUUUUUGUCUUUGUUCUAUGUAGCACCAUGGUCCUGGAGAAAUGUCUAAUUUCACUGUGUACUGCAACAGCUAUACUGUAUAUGGAUAAAAUGACAAUAAAAGCUUCUUGACUUAAUAA